rnacentral:rRNA from 1 species
UACGUAGGGUGCAAGCGUUGUCCGGAAUUAUCGGGCGUAAAGAGCGUGUAGGCGGCCCGAUUAGUCCGCUGUGAAAAUCCAGGGCUCAACCCUGGAAUGCCGGUGGAUACUGUCGGGCUAGAGUCCGGAAGGGGCGAGUGGAAUUCCUGGUGUAGCGGUGAAAUGCGCAGAUAUCAGGAGGAACACCAAUGGCGAAGGCAGCUCGCUGGGACGUGACUGACGCUGAGACGCGAAAGCGGGGGGAGCAAACAGG